rnacentral:rRNA from 1 species
GAUGAACGCUGGCGGCGUGCCUAAUACAUGCAAGUCGAGCGAACGGACGAGAAGCUUGCUUUUCUGAUGUUAGCGGCGGACGGGUGAGUAACACGUGGAUAACCUACCUAUAAGACUGGGAUAACUUCGGGAAACCGGAGCUAAUACCGGAUAAUAUUUUGAACCGCAUGGUUCAAAAGUGAAAGACGGUCUUGCUGUCACUUAUAGAUGGAUCCGCGCUGCAUUAGCUAGUUGGUAAGGUAACGGCUUACCAAGGCAACGAUGCAUAGCCGACCUGAGAGGGUGAUCGGCCACACUGGAACUGAGACACGGUCCCGACUCCUACGGGAGGCAGCAGUAGGGAAUCUUCCGCAAUGGGCGAAAGCCUGACGGAGCAACGCCGCGUGAGUGAUGAAGGUCUUCGGAUCGUAAAACUCUGUUAUUAGGGAAUAACAUAUGUGUAAGUAACUGUGCACAUCUUGACGGUACCUAAUCAGAAAGCCACGGCUAACUACGUG